rnacentral:tRNA from 1 species
AGAAGCUUAGGUUAACCAUAAACCAAGGGCUCUCAAAGCCCUAAACAAGAACUAAACACUCUUAGCUUC